GCUGUAACAGCGCCCCCCUCUACUGUGAGCUACCGUGGACUACCAUGAGCACUGCGGGGUCAUACACCUGGAGGGCUGAGGCUAGAUGAUUACACUCAGGAAACCUAGCCCCGAGCCCUGCGGAGCCCUGCACUGUAAGAAGAAAACCAGUGUGUCCACUGGUGAGACUAACGGUUCCGUGAGCCGCGGCCAGGAAAAGGCAGCAAACAAAGUGAACAGUCAGCCAAGGAGCGUUUGCUGGAGAUUUAUGUGGAAACCUGCUCACAGAUGCAGAGCUGCUGGAUUUAUAACAAGGGUAUUCAAGAGUAUGCUAAUGACAUUUCACCUUAUGACCUGUGAAUAUAUGGGAAUGAAAAUUGCUGGGAUCGCCUCUGCGAUGCAUGGCCUCUGAUGGGGGCA